rnacentral:rRNA from 1 species
GAUGAACGCUGGCGGCGUGCCUAAUACAUGCAAGUCGAGCGAACAGACGAGGAGCUUGCUCCUCGGACGUUAGCGGCGGACGGGUGAGUAACACGUGGAUAACCUACCUAUAAGACUGGGAUAACUUCGGGAAACCGGAGCUAAUACCGGAUAAUAUAUUGAACCGCAUUGUUGAAUAGUGAAAGACGGUUUUGCUGUCACUUAUAGAUGGAUCCCCGCCGCAUUAGCUGGUUGGUAAGGUAAAGGCUUACCAAGGCAACGAGGCGUAGCCGACCUGAGUGGGUGAUCGGCCACACUGGAACUGAGACACCGUCCAGGCUCCUACGGGAGGCAGCAGUAGGGAAUCUUCCGCAAUGGGCGAAAGCCUGACGGAGCAACGCCGCGUGAGUGAUGAAGGUCUUCGGAUCGUAAAACUCUGUUAUUAGGGAAGAACAAAUGUGUAAGUAACUAUGCACGUCUUGACGGUACCUAAUCAGAAAGCCACGGCUAACUACGUG